UCUUAAAUCUAGACCAGAUCAAAAAACCAUUUUUGUAAAGAAUCACACAGCUAGGAAGCUAAGCAGAGUCAGGCCUGGUUAGUACUUGGAUGGGAGACCACCUAGGAAGACCAGGUGCUGUAGGCA
rnacentral:rRNA from 1 species